AGAUGAACUGGCCUGGGGAGGAACAAUUUGAAGAAAGCCAAAGCAGGGGUUGGGUUCCAUUCCUGUGGCAGGACUCAGGAUGGGGGGUGGUGGGUGCCUGGCCCUGCUGAUGAGGGGGAACAGAUUUGGACCUCAGGUGCCUUCCAGGGUAGACUCUGGGUUCGGAUUUUCAUUUCCCACACUGUCUGAAGUAGGAAUAAUCAGAUCGUCCUGAUAUUGGUCCUGCGGAAGCUGGGCUGACAGCUGGUGCUGCAGCUGGGGUGUGGGACAGAGUGAGGAGGACAGAACUUAGGGUGGGUGGCAGAGAGCCACUGUAGCUGGGUCAGCCAGGUGGGGCUCAGGUCACCACUACAGAGACCUAGAGGACAUACGGCAAGCUCCAAGGCUACAAAGCUUUAGAGAAAAGACUUGGAACAAGAUUCUGCAUAGGAAGCAUACUGCCUCCAUUGGGAUGGGAGAUGGGCUACAUGGAACCAACGAGUGCAUCAGCCCUUUAUCCAUCAACACAGUGGCAGGGACGCCAUCUCUGAAUGGACAAAGAUACCUCACGGAGAGAUGGGCCAGCUCAGCAGGCAGCUGGGAAGCAGUGAUGGCUUCCAGGCAGUAGCAUCAGGACACUGGCCAAAGCCUGGGUGAAUUUUCCAGGAUGCUCUGGGCUCUCUCUGAAAUCAACUCUCUCUUUCCCGACCCACAUCCACCGUGUGACUUCUCACAAAUGGCACGGCUCUUGCUUCCCUUCAUCUGGCUUCUCUGGACAGCAGCCAGACACAGCUCUCCUGCCUUGUUGUUUUCUCUCAACUUAUAAUAAAAUUGUCUUCAAGCUUC